rnacentral:rRNA from 1 species
ACGCUAGCGGCAGGCUUAACACAUGCAAGUCGAGGGGUAACAGAGGUAGCUUGCUACUUGCUGACGACCGGCGCACGGGUGCGUAACGCGUAUACAAUCUGCCUUAUACAGAGGGAUAGCCUUUAGAAAUGAAGAUUAAUACCUCAUGGUCUAUUAAUAUAGCAUUAUAUAAAUAGUAAAGCUUCGGCGGUAUAAGAUGAGUAUGCGUCCUAUUAGUUAGUUGGUAAGGUAACGGCUUACCAAGACUACGAUAGGUAGGGGCCCUGAGAGGGGGAUCCCCCACACUGGUACUGAGACACGGACCAGACUCCUACGGGAGGCAGCAGUGAGGAAUAUUGGACAAUGGAGGAAACUCUGAUCCAGCCAUGCCGCGUGCAGGAAGACGGCCCUAUGGGUUGUAAACUGCUUUUAUAUAGGAAGAAACCUUUUCACGUGUGAGAAGCUGACGGUACUAUAAGAAUAAGGACCGGCUAACUCCGUGCCAGCAGCCGCGGUAAUACGGAGGGUCCGAGCGUUAUCCGGAAUCAUUGGGUUUAAAGGGUCCGUAGGCGGGAAUCUAAGUCAGUGGUGAAAUCUUACAGCUCAACUGUAAAAUUGCCAUUGAUACUGGGUUUCUUGAAUUAGUGUGAAGUGAUUAGAAUGUGUAGUGUAGCGGUGAAAUGCAUAGAUAUUACACAGAAUACCAAUUGCGAAGGCAGAUCACUAACACUAUAUUGACGCUGAGGGACGAAAGCGUGGGGAGCGAACAGGAUUAGAUACCCUGGUAGUCCACGCCGUAAACGAUGGGAUACUAGCUGUUCGGUCUU